rnacentral:rRNA from 1 species
GACGAACGCUGGCGGCGUGCUUAACACAUGCAAGUCGAACGGAAAGGCCCUGCUUUUGUGGGGUGCUCGAGUGGCGAAAGGGUGAGUAACACGUGAGUAACCUGCCCUUGACUUUGGGAUAACUUCAGGAAACUGGGGCUAAUACCGGAUAGGAGCUCCUGCUGCAUGGUGGGGGUUGGAAAGUUUCGGCGGUUGGGGAUGGACUCGCGGCUUAUCAGCUUGUUGGUGGGGUAGUGGCUUACCAAGGCUUUGACGGGUAGCCGGCCUGGGAGGGUGACCGGCCACAUUGGGACUGAGAUACGGCCCAGACUCCUACGGGAGGCAGCAGUGGGGAAUAUUGCACAAUGGGCGGAAGCCUGAUGCAGCAACGCCGCGUGCGGGAUGACGGCCUUCGGGUUGUAAACCGCUUUCGCCUGUGACGAAGCGUGAGUGACGGUAAUGGGUAAAGAAGCACCGGCUAACUACGUG